GCAGGACAUUUUCCCGUGGGAUGGGAUGAAUAGAUGACUGCUGGAGGAAUGAGGAGUCUCUGUUUUGCAGGGAAGGAAAUCUGGCUGCUAGGAAUGAAUCUGUUUGCAUCCCAAUCAUCCGUCUGGAGGGACGCUGAGGAAUGGCUGAUGAUCAGACAUUAACGUCCUUUCUGUGCUCUGGAUUCAUCUUUCCUCAUCCACAUUCUCUCCUUCCAGCUGAAACAUUCCCGGAUGCAGACAGAAAACAGGAUUGAGAGAGGGGAAGGACACCCGGCCAGGACUGGAUCCGGUUACAGCCGCACCGAGGACCAAAGCUUCUAACCUCUGCAGCUUCGCCUUGCUCUCACCCUGUCCAGCUUUAUCUCCCACAUGUCUCAGGUGGUUUCAGAACAAACACAUUUUAGUGCAGAAAAAGAUCUAAUGAAAAUUUACAAAGCAGCAGUUUUCAGAGAUGUGUUUAUUGGUUUGCUAAUGUGAAGGUAAGGUGCUGUGAAUGACAUGGAGCUUCAGGCUGUGCUCUUUGGUGGAACUAAUGGCCCAGAGGCCCGGUGGGCCCACCGCCUGCAUCAGGAAUCAGACAGCAGGCAGAGGGGACCCCAUCCACAGACACUUCAACCGAUGCUGCUGAACAUUCUCAGUCAUCCAGGGGGGCCCAUGCAUGGAGGGCCAUGCAGGCCACAGGAAUCAGAACCUUCUGACUGCCAAAGUGGUUCUGUUAUCAAUCUCAGAACCAGUCUCCGACCAACAGACUUUCUGCAACUUUUCUCUUUACAGGAAACUUUGAGAUGCCAGAGACUGAAGACCUGUCCUGCUGCUGGGCUGACAUGCUAAGCAAUCCUGACCUCUGGAGGCGCUCCACAUUUAAAAACGGAGAUUUUGUGCAUGGCUUUAUAUAUAGAUAUUC